GAUGGGAGCUUGCUCCCUGAUGUUAGCGGCGGACGGGUGAGUAACACGUGGGUAACCUGCCUGUAAGACUGGGAUAACUCCGGGAAACCGGGGCUAAUACCGGAUGGUUGUUUGAACCGCAGGGUUCAAACAUAAAAGGUGGCUUCGGCUACCACUUACAGAUGGACCCGCGGCGCAUUAGCUAGUUGGUGAGGUAACGGCUCACCAAGGCAACGAUGCGUAGCCAACCUGAGAGGGUGAUCGGCCACACUGGGACUGAGACACGGCCCAAACUCCUACGGGAGGCAGCAGUAGGGAAUCUUCCGCAAUGGACGAAAGUCUGACGGAGCAACGCCGCGUGAGUGAUGAAGGUUUUCGGAUCGUAAAGCUCUGUUGUUAGGGAAGAACAAGUGCCGUUCAAAUAGGGCGGCACCUUGACGGUACCUAACCAGAAAGCCACGGCUAACUACGUGCCAGCAGCCGCGGUAAUACGUAGGUGGCAAGCGUUGUCCGGAAUUAUUGGGCGUAAAGGGCUCGCAGGCGGUUUCUUAAGUCUGAUGUGAAAGCCCCCGGCUCAACCGGGGAGGGUCAUUGGAAACUGGGGAACUUGAGUGCAGAAGAGGAGAGUGGAAUUCCACGUGUAGCGGUGAAAUGCGUAGAGAUGUGGAGGAACACCAGUGGCGAAGGCGACUCUCUGGUCUGUAACUGACGCUGAGGAGCGAAAGCGUGGGGAGCGAACAGGAUUAGAUACCCUGGUAGUCCACGCCGUAAACGAUGAGUGCUAAGUGUUAG
rnacentral:rRNA from 1 species